UGCACCCUGCCUGGUGCGCGGACCGCUGCAAAAGUAACCCUACAAUUUUAAAUCGGGAGCAUGCGCUCCGGUGGCGGACUUCAGACCUCCCGGCUUUUGCCGGACGAAGGGAGUAUGAAACCAUUGGGCCGGCACCCACCUGCUUUUCAGUAGCAGGUUAUUUUAGCACAUUACGGCCAGGCGGGAUCAAU
rnacentral:other from 1 species